rnacentral:lncRNA from 1 species
UGGAAGCUGGCAUUGAUGGACUGCUAGUGUUUAGUUUUUUUCAUUUGUAUUGACGAACAAUGUCAAACUUAUGUAUGUAUAUAUAGAUGAACUAUGUGAAACUAUGUAUUGUGCUAGCCUAUGUGUUUGCUAGCUUGUUAAAUAUUUCAUGAUGAUGUUGGAAAUAUAUAUGAUGUGAAAUAUAUGUGUUGAAGAUGUAUGAAAU